AUUCUUAGUUUUCCGAGGCUACUCCAUACUGCUUUCCAUAGUGGCUGCACCAGUCUGCACUCCCACCAGCAGUGUAGGAGAGUUCCCUUCUCUCCACAUCCUCUCCCACACUGUGUCUUGUCUCGUUAAUUAGAGCCAUUCUGAGCAGAGUAAGGUGACCUCUCCUUGUAGUUUUGAUUUGCCUUUCUCUGAUGGCUAAAGACGUGGAGCCCCUUUCCAUAGGCCGGUUGGCCAUCCGUAUGUCUUCUUUGGAGAGAUCACUGCUCAGAUCUUUAGCCCGUCUUCUUAUGUGGGUUGUUGCUUUUUGUUGUUGUUGAGCUGUGUGAGUUCUGUCUGUAUUUUGGAUAUAAACCCCUUAUCCGAUUUAUGGUUUGCAAGUAUGUUCUCCCGGUUGUUAGGUUGUGUUUUGGUUUUGUGGAUGGUUUCCUUUGCCGUGCAGAAGAUUUCUUUUACUUUGAUGCCGUCCCAUUUGUUCCUUUUGUGUUUUGUUUGCAUUGCCCAGUCAGACGUGGUACUUGAAAAUAGGCUGCUAAGACUGAUGUCAAAGAGCAUACUGCCUAUGUUUUCUUGUAGGCGUUGCGUGGUUUCGGGUGUGACAUUCAAGUCAAACCCGAGGAGGCUGCAGUUCCCCGAGAGAGAGCGUAGCGGGGACCCUGCGUCCCUGUCAGCGCACCUUGCCGCUCCGCGGAGGUCCUAAGCAGCGUGUGGGCGGGGCCGCAGGAGUUCUGCCAGGAGGGUGUCCCCGUCGCUGUCCGCAGUCCACCGCCAGAGUGGGGGCGGGGCAACGGCCGGGCAGCGUCUGGGCGGCGGCGCAUGCGUGCGCGCGAGGAGAGGAGCGCGCGGCUGCUGGGCCGCCGUCCUGGGAGGCGUGGGAGUCCGGCCGCGCUGUGCUGCUCUCUCCCGGGCCGGGCUCGUCCGUUCCCCCGGCGUCCGUGGACGCCGCUCCGUGUCCCCGCUGGGCACAGCAGCCCGGGCCCUCCACAGCCACGGCCGCUAGCCUGAGGAGGCCGUCCUUCAGCUCCCGCUCUUCCUGCUCGCCGGACACGGACGACCGGGGCGCCUGCGAAGAUGAUUCCAUCUGGGAGAGGUACCUGGGGGCGUGGGCCUCGGGGCUGGUGAGAGGCGAGUGUCACUGUUCUCUGUGCAGAGCAGCAGCUCUCACCUCAGCUUGGCCACUGCGGUUGGGUGCCUCAAUCUGUGAUAGAAAGAAUGCAAAAAAGACAGGAUAUGUUCACCAUGAAAAAGUCCUACAACAGAUUUUCUAUUUGUAGGUAAAAUAGCAUUCACUGUAUUUUUGUUUGUUGGUUGAUUGAUAGGUUUUAUACGAUUACCUCGAAUGGAAUUCUCAGGGCAAAAUCUACCAUUACUUGGAUUCACAUCUGAGAUAUACUAUUUAUAGAUAUUUCAGGGGCCAGUACUGAGGCAGUUCAUGGCCAUAUAUCCUGAUCUCUAACUGUAGCUAUUUCCCGAAGGGACACGGGAUGGAAUGGUAAUACCAUUGAUGAUGGACUUCAUAUGAUGAUUUUGAUGAACUCUGAAUUGUCUCAACUAAGGAAAACCGUUUGUAUAAUCAACCAUAAUUUACUGAAACAAAACUUUGAGUCAAUCAGCA
rnacentral:lncRNA from 1 species